UACGUAGGGUGCAAGCGUUGUCCGGAAUUAUUGGGCGUAAAGAGCUCGUAGGCGGUCUGUCGCGUCGGCUGUGAAAUCCCGAGGCUCAACCUCGGGUCUGCAGUCGAUACGGGCAAACUAGAGUAUUGCAGGGGAGACUGGAAUUCCUGGUGUAGCGGUGAAAUGGCGCAGAUAUCAGGAGGAACACCGGUGGCGAAGGCGGGUCUCUGGGCAAUAACUGACGCUGGAGGAGCGAAAGCGUGGGGAGCGAACAGG
rnacentral:rRNA from 1 species